rnacentral:rRNA from 1 species
UACGGCCAUACCACCCUGAACGUGCCCGAUCUCCUCUGAUCUCGGAAGCUAAGCAGGGUCGGGCCUGGUUAGUACUUGGAUGGAAGAAUAUAAUUCACUCAGGUAU